rnacentral:rRNA from 1 species
CAGCAGCCGCGGUAAUUCCAGCUCCAAUAGCGUAUAUUAAAGUUGUUGCAGUUAAAAAGCUCGUAGUUGGAUUUCGGGAUGGGCCAGUUGGUCCGCCGCAAGGUGUGUUACUGACUGGUCUGUUCUUCUUCGCAAAGACUGCGUAUGCUCUUCACUGAGUGUGCGUAGGAUUUACGACGUUUACUUUGAAAAAAUUAGAGUGUUCAAAGCAGGCUAUCGCUUGAAUACAUGAGCAUGGAAUAAUGGAAUAGGACUUUGGUCCUAUUUUGUUGGUUUCUAGGACCGAAGUAAUGAUUAAGAGGGACAAUUGGGGGCAUCCGUAUUUCGUUGUCAGAGGUGAAAUUCUUGGAUUUACGAAAGACGAACAACUGCGAAAGCACUUGCCAAGAGUGUUUUCAUUAAUCAAGAACGAAAGUUAGAGGAUCGAAGACGAUCAGAUACCGUCCUAGUUCUAACCAUAAACGAUGUCGACUAGGGAUCAGCGGGCGUUAUUGUACGACCUCGUUGGCACCUUACGGGAAACCAAAGUUUUUGGAUUCCGGGGGAAGUAUGGUUGCAAAGCUGAAACUUAAAGGAAUUGACGGAAG